GGCGCCGGGGGCGGCGGGGGGCCUUUUCCCGGCGUUUCCUCGCUGGCCCGGGGAGCCCGCCGCGGGGUUGCCAGAGGCCCGUGGAUUUCCCCACGCGAACCUCGUGAUCGUCUCGGUUGUCUCAGCACAGCGCUUUCCUACUGCGGGAUGAUGAGGCGACAGUUACAUCUAAUAUUGGUAGCUGGCCACACAGCUUAGAUCUAGAUGGGAACCAUCCCUGGACCCUAGGACAUGACUACCGGACCUCUGAGCUGCAUGGAGAAUUUUGUCUCAUCUCCAGUCUUGCUUGGUUUGGUAUCUAGUGGUGAGUACACCCCUGAUCCAGUGCUCCGGACCGACAGUCUGUUGAAGCAUGGUUUUCACGUGUGGUUACCAUAGGUACUUGCAUGAAAUCCUGCAUAUGUAGCAACCCAAGAGUUUCUGCUGAAAAACAGCUGAUAGUCUUAUGGGAUUUCCCUGGAAGGAUCAGAUUCCUGCUGUAUGCAUGACUUCCCUAGUGUCCAGCUCCUGCAGCUAAGAUGGCUUCCUGAGCAUUACUUCCUGGAGUGCACGGCUGUCAGCAGCAUCCAGUGGUCAACAGCUUCCAACAGAACCUCCCCUUAGGAGGUUUCACACAUAAUGCCACCAAUGAGGGAGCUACUUGUGAACCCCCUGGCAAGUCCACUAGCACAGCACACAGAGACUAUUCUGCCAUCCAGUGAACUGCCAUGCAUCCACUGCCACGCAUGCUCUAGCAAGAGCUGGAUUGCGAUGCAAUUAUAGUUUGUAAGAAUUCAUAUUCAAUAUUCCCUGUUCAAAUUCUUAUGUUAUGUCUACCUUCUAAUUGAACCCUCAGUCACAAAGAACUAGGAGUGAUUCCAAGAGAUGGAACCAUAAAGAUGAGACUGA